rnacentral:tRNA from 1 species
ACCUUAAUAGUUUAAAAAAAUAUUGGUCUUGUAAAUCAAAGAUAAGAUUAAUUCUUUUAAGGUA